UGAGGUAUGGAGAGGGAAGUGGAAUUCCUGGUGUAGCGGUGAAAUGCGUAGAUAUCAGGAGGAACACCUGUGGCGAAGGCGGCUUCCUGCCAUACUCUGACGCUGAGGUGCGAAAGCUAGGGGAGCGAACGGGAUUAGAUACCCCGGUAGUCCUAGCCGUAAACGAUGGAUACUAGGUGUUAGAGGUAUCGACCCCUCUAGUGCCGCAGCUAACGCAUUAAGUAUCCCGCCUGGGGAGUACGGCCGCAAGGCUGAAACUCAAAGGAAUUGACGGGGGCCCGCACAAGCGGUGGAGCAUGUGGUUUAAUACGUCACUAACCGUAGAACCUUACCCAGGCUUGACAUCUGGGGAAUCCUGAUGAAAGUCGGGAGUGCUUCGUAAGAAGAACCCCAAGACAGGUGUUGCAUGGCUGUCGUCAGCUCGUGUCGUGAGAUGUUGGGUUAAGUCCCGCAACGAGCGCAACCCUCAUCCGAUGUUGCCAGCGUAAAGUCGGGAACUCUUCGGAAACUGCCCGUGUAAGCGGGAGGAAGGUGGGGAUGACGUCAAGUCAGCAUGGCCCUUACGCCUGGGGCUACACACAUGCUACAAUGGACGUUAACAAAGGGCAGCAAUACCGCGAGGUGGAGCGAAUCUCAGAAAUACGUCCUCAGUUCGGAUUGUAGUCUGCAACUCGACUACAUGAAGUCGGAAUCGCUAGUAACCGCAGGUCAGCUAAACUGCGGUGAAUACGUUCCCGGGCCUUGUACACACCGCCCGU
rnacentral:rRNA from 1 species